AGCAACUGCAAUCAAAUGGAUUCCAGCUGGAUGCAGAAUGAUGGCGCUUGGGAACUGUAAAACCAACUGAUCAGAAGGGUUGCUGAUUUUAAAAUACGCAGUCACCUCCUUAUGCUGCCAUGUGGGUGGCAGCAGCGCGGAGCUCCCUGGACCACGCUGUUCCGGUGCCUGCACUGCCACCAUGCAUUUCCCGACUUCCCGCGAGUGCCAAAAGCACUUUUCAGAAAGUCAAAAUAAAAGCCACGAAAUAAAAACACUAUUUCCACUAUCCAACAUAUUUUCAUGUGGUAAAGCCGUCAAUUCAAUUUCAGUUAUCAACAUGCAGAAGAAGAAGGAAUGAAAUCUAAUGUGAACUUACGGCUAUAGCACGUUCUCUUUGAACUCUGCAAUUGGUCUUGUGCUGUAGAGAGUGGAAAGGAUGGAGUCCCAGUAUUCUGUUUGAGUCAGUUUUCUAGUAAUUCUAUGAGCUAAUGUUAUCCCACAGCUCAAUAUUUUAAAAAGAAUCACUGAAAUACUUAUGACUUGUUACUGUGCAGUCUAUUCAAUCAAAUGAAGUUUUGGUUAUCUCAUCAUGACAGAUGUUUUACGUUUCAUGGAAUCUUCCCCUUUCACCUCCAAUGUUACUUAAAUUAAUUAUUGUAUUAUUGGCCUUUUGUUUGUAAUUAAGAAGAGUUUGCUUUAAAUAUUUUUGUGUUGCUCACUGAUACAGUUAUGUCAUUUGCCCUGUGCUGAAAUGUAAAAACACACAAUGAAAACCUUGAAAUUUCAA